rnacentral:misc_RNA from 1 species
GAUGAAGAACGUAGCGAAAUGCGAUACGUAGUGUGAAUUGCAGAAUUCAGUGAAUCAUCGAAUCAUUGAACGCACAUUGCACCUCUCGGUAUUCCGGGAGGUAUGCCUGUUCGAGCGUCAUUUGUACCCUCAAGCUCUGCUUGGUGUUGGGUGUUUGUUCCGCCUCUGUGUGUGAACUCGCCUCAAAACAAUUGGCAGCCGGCGUACUUGUUUCGGAGCGCAGCACAUUUUGCGAUCCAGAUCAACGUACAGCGGCAUCCAAGAAGCCUUAUUUAACGCUCUUGACCUCGGAUCAGGUAGGGAUACCCGCUGAACUUAAGCAUAUCAAUAAGCGGAGGA